GCAGGCCUGGGAGAGGAGGGAGUUGACUAUGAACUGGCUCAAAAAAAGAUUCAGCUCAUUGAAAGCAUUAGUAGAAAACUUUCUGUCCUGCGGGAGGCCCAGCGUGGGCUACUGGAUGACAUCAAUGCCAACGCUGCCCUUGGAGAGGAGGUGGAGGUCAACUUAAAAGCUGUCUGCAAGUCCAAUGAGUUGGAAAAGUAUCAUUUGUUUAUUGGAGACCUGGACAAAGUGGUCAACCUGUUGUUGUCACUCUCUGGACGACUGGCCCGGGUAGAGAAUGCUCUCAACAGCAUCGAUGCUGAGUCCAACCAGGAGAAGUUGGUGCUGAGAGAGAAGAAGCAGCAGCUGACGAACCAGUUGGCAGAUGCCAAAGAGCUGAAGGAGCAUGUGGACCGCAGGGAGAAG
rnacentral:lncRNA from 1 species